GGCGCGAUGGCAGAGUGGUUAUGCAGCGGCCUACAAAGCCGUGUACGUCGGUUCGAUUCCGGCUCGCGCCUCCA
rnacentral:tRNA from 1 species